UCUAAUUCUAGCCUUCAGCAGUUUUACGGCGUAACGUGUGAGAGCUUUAGUUGGGGUCCAGGUUUCUACAUUGCCCUGUUUGGAUCAUUGGCAGCAGCAUUGCUCUUAAUUAUCAUUAUCAUUGUCAUUGUCCGUGUCAGAAAGAGACAUACGGGCACUUGGAGAAUGAGCAACUACUAUGACAGCAGACUUUCUGAUUGUGAAGUGGAUUUAUUUCACUUCUCUGCUAAAGAUCCCGACUUUUACGAUUUUAAGACUCUUACACACGAGUAACCAAUUUGGACAACCAAUUGCAGGACACAACAAAUCAUCCAGAGGCUUGGAACAUCUACUCAUUAAUCAUAUAUUAUAUACUAAUUUGUUUUUGUGAUUGAUAUGACUGUAUCUACUUAAAUUCUAAUUUAAUCGUGCUAAUAUAUAAAAAUGAACAUGUCACAAUGGACUCCAGUUAAUUCACACCACACAAAUGUUUUUUUCAGGAUUUGUUCUAGUUAGUUUUAAAUGUUGUCCUUACCUGAGGUCACAAAGAAGUGCUUUGUUUGUCAAUGAGCAAUACGGCCAUUCAGUACUGAGGAACAGAAAGUAAAAGAUUUAACAUUGAAUGAAUAUUUAAUUUGAUCCUUUCUAAAACAUGAAUGUUGGAGUUGUUUCAGAGAUAUUGUCUUCACAGUAUUUUACUGUAUACAUAUAUUUAGGAAAAAUGCACAAACUAAUUAAAAAUAUGUAUAAAAUGCCCCCAAUUAACAUAGGUUCCGCGUAUAAUAAAGACCAGGAGCAAUGUAAACCAUUGGAAUAAAUGAUUUUAAGUUAACUGAGAAGAAUGUAGUUUGCAUCAGUGUUUGCAGCAGUUUGAUUUUGAGAUCUCAGUGUCAAAUUGUGUAAUCUAAAGAAAUAAGGUGUCAACAUGCUGCUUUUCUUUCUAUCUAAUAUCUGUAAUAUGCACUUGACAGAGCAGUUAGUUAUAUUUAUUGUUACGAUGACAUCUCAGUAACACAAGCAAUACUAUUUAGCAUUCAAAUACAUGGGUAAGAAAAGGUUGAGAAACAAUCUUUCCCAUCUUCUUCGCAACACAAUACAGUGGUCAUAUAGCAGAUUCUUCUUCAAAUGAAAGCCUAAGAGGUUUAAUUGUUGGUAUCUCUCAAAGUCUUUACAAUACCCCGUCACUAGAUGGCGCACACACUCAUUUGAAUGAUUCGUUGCCUUUGCAAUGUGAGAAUAGAGACAAAAAGAGACAGAGCUUUUAAAAGUUUAAUACAUUUUGAAAAAGUGUAAUCUAAUCAACCCCGGCAGUGACCAGUACUGUCCUGUUGUAGAAUCGGGACUGUCCGGUCAGCACCAGGUAGUAAUAGCUUUAAAGAUUGAUCCAUAAAGUUAAAAACGGUAUAUACUAUACUAUAUGUAUGUGUGAGAUUUUCCAGCUAGCAUUCUCAGUAUUUGUUGUCAUGAGCCACAAGACACUACCGUUACCUGCCACUUUUACGCACAAUGAAGGCCAAAAAUCUGCAAUAUUUCAAGAGAAAAUAACUUUUAAAAAUAGUAUAUACAAGUGAACAUAUAAAAACAUCGCAGAUGUUUGGGGUUUAAAUUGCCUUAAGCAUGGACCAUUCUGUUAUUGAGUAGGCCCAUUUCAAAACAAAAAACAUCUAAAGCUUUUAAAUCAAUUUGUCACCAUAUAGAUCUGAUUAAAUUAAAAUACUAUUAAAAAUGAUCGGCUGCAUUUAACUAAUAUAUAUUUCACAUUUCUUUUCUUUGUGUUUACAAGACCAGCUGCUUGAUACUUGAUAACAUUUGGCCUAAAUAUCCCCUUUAACGAAGUCAAACACCUGAAUGUGACCUCUGGUUAUGUUUGUAUAUCAUUUACCAGCCACUAAUUGGUAGCUUUCGGUGUUUAGCCACCUGCUCGAGUGUUGUAAUAAAAGACACUUUUUUUGUUUGUUUUUUAGCUUCGUGAGUUUUAUACGUCAGCAAAUUCGAACAUUCGCCGUUAAUAUCCCAGCAGUUAAACUCGUUAGCAGAGACACGUCGCUAGUCGGCUCUGCUAUUAGCUGCUAAGUUAGCGGUUGUUAAGCUAACUGGGCCCCACCAGGCCUCCAACAGCUCCGCCCCCUCGUAAGGGUGUAUUGUAACUAUAAAACUAGAAGACUUCCUGUUACCUACACAGACCGGGAGUCGGUCAUAAACGUUUCCUUUUGCAGCCAUAACCAUAAAUGAUUCAUUA